rnacentral:tRNA from 3 species
GUCCCGUUCGUCUAGAGGCCUAGGACGCUGCCCUCUCACGGCGGUAACAGGGGUUCGAAUCCCCUACGGGACGCCA